GACAAAUAUUUAGACUAUAUAAGGAAGGUGUCAGGACUCGAUAAGCAAAUCGCAGGGCAAUAUUACUCAACGACCGGAAGGGUUCUUCUCUGAAGAAGACGAAAUUAUGGAGUGGAAAAAAAUGAAAAGAAAAAAACGAAUACACUGCAGAGUUAAAAAAAGACUGGCGCAGCGUAAUCCAAACAAUCCUGGGUAUAAGCGUUAUUCUGGAUAUUAUGGUGGCGAUGGUACCCAAGCUGACCGGGACAAACACAGUGACCAAUUAAAUCCAAAUAACAACUAACACAAGGGAUCGAAAAAUUAAUCAACUGAGUUGAUUAAAUAUAGUAUUUAAAAAGUUUUAGUGUCCAUUCGUAAUAUGAAUUAAUACACAUGUAUUUAAUUUGUAUAAUUAAUUUAUAUAAUAAACACUAACAACUUAA